UACUGUGGUAGAACUGUAUGGCUAUGUGUGGUGGUGUUGGUAGUACUGUGGUAGAACUGUAUGGCUAUGUGUGGUGGUGUUGGUAGUACUGUGGUAGAACUGUAUGGCUAUGUGUGGUGGUGUGGGUAGUACUGUGGUAGAACUGUAUGGCUAUGUGUGGUGGUGUUGGUAGUACUGUGGUAGAACAGUAUGGCUAUGUGAGGUGGUGUUGGUAGUACUGUGGUAGAACAGUAUGGCUAUGUGUGGUGGUGUUGGUAGUACUGUGGUAGAACUGUAUGGCUAUGUGUGGUGGUGUGGGUAGUACUGUGGUAGAACUGUAUGGCUAUGUGUGGUGGUGUUGGUAGUACUGUGGUAGAACAGUAUGGCUAUGUGUGGUGGUGUUGGUAGUACUGUGGUAGAACUGUAUGGCUAUGUGUGGUGGUGUUGGUAGUACUGUGGUAGAACUGUAUGGCUAUGUGUGGUGGUGUUGGUAGUACUGUGGUAGAACUGUAUGGCUAUGUGUGGUGGUGUGGGUAGUACUGUGGUAGAACUGUAUGGCUAUGUGUGGUGGUGUUGGUAGUACUGUGGUAGAACAGUAUGGCUAUGUGAGGUGGUGUUGGUAGUACUGUGGUAGAACAGUAUGGCUAUGUGUGGUGGUGUUGGUAGUACUGUGGUAGAACUGUAUGGCUAUGUGUGGUGGUGUGGGUAGUACUGUGGUAGAACUGUAUGGCUAUGUGUGGUGGUGUUGGUAGUACUGUGGUAGAACAGUAUGGCUAUGUGUGGUGGUGUUGGUAGUACUGUGGUAGAACUGUAUGGCUAUGUGUGGUGGUGUUGGUAGUACUGUGGUAGAACUGUAUGGCUAUGUGUGGUGGUGUUGGUAGUACUGUGGUAGAACUGUAUGGCUAUGUGUGGUGGUGUUGGUAGUACUGUGGUAGAACUGUGUGGCUAUGUGUGGUGGUGUUGGUAGUACUGUGGUAGAACAGUAUGGCUAUGUGUGGUGGUGUUGGUAGUACUGUGGUAGAACUGUGUGGCUAUGUGUGGUGGUGUUGGUAGUACUGUGGUAGAACAGUAUGGCUAUGUGAGGUGGUGUUGGUGUGUGUCCUGUACUCAGAACCAGAACUCGGAGACGAAGAUGUGGACGCUGACGAUGUUCCGAUGAGACACCACCCCAGAGGUGACGUAGUUCAUAGCCAGCUUCAAUACC